rnacentral:rRNA from 1 species
GACGAACGCUGGCGGCGUGCCUAAUACAUGCAAGUUGAGCGCCGAAGGUUGGUACUUGUACCGACUGGAUGAGCAGCGAACGGGUGAGUAACGCGUGGGGAAUCUGCCUUUGAGCGGGGGACAACAUUUGGAAACGAAUGCUAAUACCGCAUAAAAACUUUAAACACAAGUUUUAAGUUUGAAAGAUGCAAUUGCAUCACUCAAAGAUGAUCCCGCGUUGUAUUAGCUAGUUGGUGAGGUAAAGGCUCACCAAGGCGAUGAUACAUAGCCGACCUGAGAGGGUGAUCGGCCACAGUGGGACUGAGACACGGCCCAAACUCCUACGGGAGGCAGCAGUAGGGAAUCUUCGGCAAUGGACGAAAGUCUGACCGAGCAACGCCGCGUGAGUGAAGAAGGUUUUCGGAUCGUAAAACUCUGUUGGUAGAGAAGAACGUUGGUGAGAGUGGAAAGCUCAUCAAGUGACGGUAACUACCCAGAAAGGGACGGCUAACUACGUG